rnacentral:rRNA from 1 species
UACGUAGGGUGCAAGCGUUGUCCGGAUUUAUUGGGCGUAAAGAGCGUGUAGGCGGCCUGAAAGGUCAGCUGUGAAAACUCGAGGCUCAACCUCGAGACGUCGGUUGAAACCAUCUGGCUAGAGUCCGGAAGAGGAGUGUGGAAUUCCCGGUGUAGCGGUGAAUGCGCAGAUAUCGGGAAGAACACCCGUGGCGAAGGCGGCAGCUCUGGGACGGUACUGACGCUGAGACGCGAAAGCGUGGGGAGCGAACAGGG